rnacentral:sRNA from 1 species
UAAUCGGUAAUACCUACUUAUUGAAUUAG